UACGGGGGGGGCAAGCGUUGUUCGGAAUUACUGGGCGUAAAGGGCUCGUAGGCGGCCAACUAAGUCGGAUGUGAAAUCCCCAGGCUUAACCUGGGAACUGCAUCCGAUACUGGAUGGCUUGAAUCCGGGAGAGGGAUGCAGAAUUCCAGGUGUAGCGGUGAAAUGCGUAGAUAUCUGGAGGAAUACCGGUGGCGAAGGCGGCAUCCUGGGCCGGCAUUGACGCUGAGUGAGCGAAAGCCAGGGGAGCGAACGGG
rnacentral:rRNA from 1 species